rnacentral:rRNA from 1 species
UACGGAGGGGGCGAGUGUUGUUCGGAAUUACUGGGCGUAAAGGGCUCGUAGGCGGCCAACUAAGUCAUACGUGAAAUCCCUCAGCUUAACUGGGGAACUGCGUGUGAUACUGGAUGGCUUGGAUUUGGGAGAGGGAUGCGGAAUUCCAGGUGUAGCGGUGAAAUGCGUAGAUAUCUGGAGGAACACCGGUGGCGAAGGCGGCAUCCUGGACCAAUAUUGACGCUGAGGAGCGAAAGCUAGGGGAGCAAACGGG